GAGCAGUGACGAUUUCUGCACUACGGUUGAUGGUUGGGUCCAUCACAAUUGUCUGAUCAAUUUGACGAAAAUACGUGCAUCUGAGCUC